UCUCGAUCCCCUCCCGUCGCCGCCGCCCUCGGCUCUCGAUCCCCUCGAGUAAGCUGCGUCGCCGUCGCUCUCGAUUCCCUCGAGAUCGUUGCGCCGCCAUCCCCUCAAGAUCCCCAGAUCUCACACCGCCACCGCCGGUGCCUCCUCCUCUGGCGACGCGGCGAACGAGAGCAGGGCCGCAGCAGGGGUGGCUGCCUCGUGCCCCCGAUGUCCAGGAGUUUCGGCAGAUCCGUUUUCGCCCUGGAUGUGAGUCGUGUACCGGCGACUCUGGCAGUCCGACCUCGUGCGCGUCGUCCUCACCAUCAACCCCAAGUCUUUCCUCCAGUGGACCAUUGAACUCCACAACCAAUUUCUUCGACGCUGUCAUGCAGGUUCGAGUCCACACAGUGAGGAGAUUGAUUCAUGCGUGCUUGUUUCAGUCCAGAUCUCUAAAUAAAUGUUCCGAACGAGGAAGCUAUGGGAGAUUGGCAGUGUCAAGCAUGUGUUUCCUUACGUCUUCUUCUGUACUCCAGCUGGGUUGUAGUUUUUGAUACUACUCCUACAGGGCAUACUUUAGGGUUGCUGCAGUUCCGAUCAACACUUGAGAAGAAAAAUGAUGCGAGUAAAGAAUAGCUUCAGUGGUCUAUUGAAUCAGGUGUUCCUUAAUCUUGAUAAAUUCCAAUCUAUUGGGAAGCUAUGAUUGUUUUCAUGUGUAUGCCCACCGCCGUGUUGCUUUUAUUCUGAUUUUAACAUAUUAUGCAUCUGUUCAUUCCAACAUGACAAUACACUGUAUAAUUUACGAAAGAAGAUGGGCAUGAUAGUCUAUUCUUGGUUCAUUAGAACAUGGCCUACCAAUAUGUUGAGGAAUUAACGGCAUCCUGAAUAAAAGAUGAUUCCUUAAUUGUUUGAUUUGUUGAGUCUUACAUAUAAAUAGAUACUGUGAUCCAUGGAAUUCUUCCAUUGUUUGUAUUGAAGUUAAAUGACAAUCUGCUCUUCAUAUAUACUUUCAAUAUAGUAGAAUAUUCAUUUGGGAUAAAUUGACUUGUUCUAUUCGAAAGUGCUGCACCGGCACUAAUAAACAAAUCCAAUCUCAUGUCAUCUAUUUAUUCUGACAAUGGUGCCGUGUAGACUAGGAAUUAGAAAAAAAACAAGUACUAGGAUACAUUGCAAACUAUGGAACGAAAGAACCUACUUGAAAAGGCCUCAGCAGUUCUACGCAUGAGUCGGGUAAUGCAGCAUUAUAGGAUGAUCCAUUCAUAUGCAUACAAAGGCUUCAAUUUUGAUUUCCAUUCAGUUUCAUCCGAAUAUUGAUUUUUCUUUAGUUUAGAUCAGCUACGAUUUAGGUACUACAGUUGUAUAGGAUGAUCCACUGCCAUUCAUACAGAGGUUCCAGUCUUGAAUAUGUUUCAGUUGAAUUCAGUUUUUCGAGUCAGCCCAUCUCAGCUCUAUGUGACAUUUAUAAGAUGACUCCAUAAAAUUCACAAAAGACGGCUGGAGGACCCUGACUCGGAGGAGACGACAGAGUUCAUGGCGAGCGAGGCGGACUUGGCCGAGUCCAUGCUUUCCUGGUUAGGGAGAGCCUCCAACACAAGGUCAUGUGUUGCUUCUCUCCUCUAUUUGGAUUUUAUUAAUUGGUGUCUUUUUUACUGAUUCCUUCGCUAUUGCUGUGCGCUCCUAGGUUUAGUCCAUGUCUCUCUAGAUUACUUCUAUUUCGUACGGAUGGUCUUGAGUUUGCACAAUUCCAGGAUGUCAGCUCGCCGCACAUGUGAUACUUAUUGUUAAUAGUUAUAGAAUUCCCUAGGUGUUCUUUGUUAUUUUUGUGCACAGAAGUUGUUUGUCUCU